rnacentral:rRNA from 1 species
GACGGAGGGUGCGAGCGUUGUUCGGAAUUACUGGGCGUAAAGCGCGCGCAGGUGGGUGCGUAAGUCGGAGGUGAAAGCGCAGGGCUCAACCCUGGGAUGCCGGUCGAUACUGCCGGACUAGAGUUCGGAAGGGGCGAGUGGAAUUCCCGGUGUAGCGGUGAAAUGCGCAGAUAUCGGGAGGAACACCUAUGGCGAAGGCAGCUCGCUGGGCUGAGAUUGACGCUCAGGCACGAAAGCGUGGGGAGCAAACAGG